CCUACGGGAGGCAGCAGUAGGGAAUCUUCCACAAUGGGCGAAAGCCUGAUGGAGCAACGCCGCGUGAGUGAAGAAGGAUUUCGGUUCGUAAAACUCUGUUGUAAGGGAAGAACAAGUACAGUAGUAACUGGCUGUACCUUGACGGUACCUUAUUAGAAAGCCACGGCUAACUACGUGCCAGCAGCCGCGGUAAUACGUAGGUGGCAAGCGUUGUCCGGAAUUAUUGGGCGUAAAGCGCGCGCAGUGGUUCUUAAGUCUGAUGUGAAAGCCCACGGCUCAACCGUGGAGGGUCAUUGGAAACUGGGAGACUUGAGUGCAGAAGAAGAUAGUGGAAUUCCAAGUGUAGCGGUGAAAUGCGUAGAGAUUUGGAGGAACACCAGUGGCGAAGGCGACUAUCUGGUCUGUAACUGACACUGAGGCGCGAAAGCGUGGGGAGCAAACAGGAUUAGAUACCUGGUAGUCCACGCCGUAAACGAUGAGUGCUAAGUGUUAGGGGGUUUCCGCCCCUUAGUGCUGCAGCUAACGCAUUAAGCACUCCGCCUGGGGAGUACGGUCGCAAGACUGAAACUCAAAGGAAUUGACGGGGGCCCGCACAAGCGGUGGAGCAUGUGGUUUAAUUCGAAGCAACGCGAAGAACCUUAC
rnacentral:rRNA from 1 species